rnacentral:tRNA from 1 species
GCCCCCGUAGUCCAACGGGCAGAGACACUUCGUCGAGAACGAAGAGGCUGCAGGUUCGAAUCCUGCCGGGGGCA